AAGCAAAGCCGCGAGGUAGAGCAAAUCUCAAAAAAACAUCUCAGUUCAGACUGCAGGCUGCAACUCGCCUGCACGAAGUCGGAAUUGCUAGUAAUCGUAGGUCAGCAUACUACGGUGAAUACGUUCCCGGGCCUUGUACACACCGCCCGUCAAACCAUGAGAGUUGGCAACACCCGAAGUCGGUAGUCUAACCGCAAGGAGGACGCCGCCGAAGGUGGGGUUGAUGAUUAGGGUUAAGUCGUAACAAGGUAAC
rnacentral:rRNA from 1 species